rnacentral:rRNA from 1 species
ACGUAGGAGGCGAGCGUUAUCCGGAUUUACUGGGCGUAAAGCGCGUGCAGGCGGUUUGGUAAGUUGGAUGUGAAAGCUCCCGGCUCAACUGGGAGAGGUCGUUCAAUACUGCCGAACUUGAGGAUGGUAGAGGAAGGUGGAAUUCCGGGUGUAGUGGUGACAUGCGUAGAUAUCCGGAGGAACACCAGUGGCGAGAGCGGCCUUCUGGACCAUUUCUGACGCUCAGACGCGAGAGCUAGGGGAGCGAACGG